rnacentral:rRNA from 1 species
AUGCUUGCAGCCAUAGAGGAGGUAUUUCCGUUGGCAGUGCACAGGCACUGCAGGUGGAACAUUAUAAAGAAGGCUGAAGAGACGCUAGGACCGUUCUUUGCUGACCGUCUAGAGAUCCACAAGGCGUUUGAGCUGUGCGUGGACCACAGCUUGACGGUGGAGGAGUUUGAAAGGAGCUGGAUGGCGAUGAUUGAAACAUAUCAAGUCCAAGACAACGAGACGCUUGCUAACCUGUGGGAGAAGCGAAUGUACUGGGUGCCAGCCUACUUCAUGCAGUGCUUCUUUCCCUUUCUGCAGACUACGCAGCGCAGCGAGGGGUUCAAUGCUGUUUUGAAGCGGUACGUGAGCCCUGGCAACUCAUUGCUACAGUUUGCCAAGCAGUACACAACUUUGCAACAAAAAAUUCUAGGAUCUGAGCUGCAGCAAGAAGCUACCACCGCGCUAAAGCAGCCGAAAUUGCUAACGUAUUUACCGAUGGAGAGGCAAAUGAGCAAGAUAUACACAAACAAGAUCUUUAACAAGUAA